GUCUUUUCAGACUGUACAGAUUUAUCCCCAGUCCUGACAUCAUGAUGUUUCUCAUAGUGUCGUUUCUCUUCCAUUGCAUUCAGUUCUUGACUCUCCUCUUUCAAUGCCAUCAAGUCUGUUUGUUCCUCAGUAUCUUCUUGUUUCACACUAAAUGUUUCUUCAAUCUUCACGUCUUCA